GAGGACAACUGAGCUAGCGCCGCGCUUACCUCGCAGUCCUCGUACUUGAUAUUAUCCGUCAGUUUCCAAAGCAUUUUCAUGGAUCGGCGUGAAUGGAUUUGCCCCCUCUCCGCCUCGCACCCAAGUGGAGCUACUCUCUGGCCUAAUCGCCUCAUUAGCAUAUCAACAAUAGUCCAAUUGCUCGCCAGCACCACAAUCUGCCGCCGGCCGCUCCGACCCAGGUAUAAAGGCCUCCCCAAGCCGCAAACCUGCUCCUAGAGCGCGCUCCUGCCGGGGAGCCCACGAAAUCUCCCUUGAGCCCCGCCGCGCGGCCCUGCCCCGGCGCCCCCGCCCCCAUGCCACUCUUCUCUCUCCUCUUCUCUGCUCUCUUCUCCGUCUCCUCCUCGCCGGAGACGACCCGGCAAAAGCCCGGCACUGCGCAGGGUCCGAGCGACCGCGCCGGGGCCCAGCUUUCGGCACCUCUCCCUCAUCCCUGCCUCCACCAGCGGCUCUGUCCUUUCGGCUCCGUCCAAUCUUAUUAGAAAUUACUAUCCCUUUCGCAAUCAGAUGUAACCACCAAACGAAGACCGGCGAAGUCACGUCAGGAUUUUUGCCCAACAAGAGAUCGCCUCCGCUCCCCGGCAGCUGACACCUCCGGCCGCGGCGCCCUGGGACUUUUACUGGCUUCGCGCUUCCCAGCCCACCCCACCCCCCCAGGUUGGAGAUUUUGCCAGACGGCUUCAGUCGCCCGGCUGGGGUUUGGGAUCCUUUAAUUGCCGCGUGUAAAAUAAAAAGUGUACCCUGAAGAGGUUACUUGACA